rnacentral:rRNA from 1 species
UACGAAGGGUGCUAGCGUUGUUCGGAAUUAUUGGGCGUAAAGGGUGCGUAGGCGGUUUGGUAAGUCUUAUGUGAAAUCUACAGGCUCAACUUGUAGUCUGCAUGAGAAACUGCCGGGCUUGAGUAUGGGAGAGGUGAGUGGAAUUCCUGGUGUAGCGGUGAAAUGCGUAGAUAUCAGGAGGAACACCUGUGGCGAAAGCGGCUCACUGGACCAUAACUGACGCUGAUGCACGAAAGCUAGGGGAGCAAACAGG